GACAGUGUAGCUCAAUGGAUAGAGCGCAGGGUCUUGCCCUGAGAAUGUUGGUUCGACUCCAACCGCUGUCA
rfam:Phytophthora infestans T30-4 supercont1.37 genomic scaffold, whole genome shotgun sequence.